rnacentral:lncRNA from 1 species
UCUGACUUCCAUGGGUUCUCUUUUGGGAAUCUGAGAGGUGUUUUGGGGAGCAGUGCUAAGAAAGACUCCCCACCCUUAGUGAGAAGAGAAUAAUACUGACAGGGGCUUGUCAUCUUGAGUAGGCUGCAAACUUUGAAGAGGAAAUAGCAUAGAUUUGCCACGGAUAAUGGAAGGAACAACUGACUUUCCUCUAGAGGAUUUGAACUGGAGGAGGCUUGAAGUUGAACAAUGGAACUCUCAGUACCAACUUCCCUUUACAGUCUGAUCUCAGAAAUCUGACAGCCAGUUGUAUUCCCCCAGACCCUCUACCUUCACCUGUACUGAGGUUGUCCCACAUGGCAGUUUCAGGCGCAAUUCUUCUGGAGAUGACAAAGGGCAGGAAGGUGCUUCAGAUUCAUGUUUCCAUGUGAUGUUUUUCUUCCAUCUGAAAAACUACUUUUUGUGAGAGGAAGACAUGAUGGCAGGUCUAGCUGUCAAGCUGCUUGGAUGGCCUUGGAGUCAGG